GAGUAACACGUGGGUAAUCUACCCUUUGGUCUGGAACAACUCGGGGAAACUCGUGCUAAUUCCGGAUAAGACCACUAGAUGCUUUCUAGUGGGAAAAGCGGGGGCCUUCUUCGGAAGCCUCGUGCCAUCGGAUGAGCCCGCGGCCCAUCAGGUAGUUGGUAGGGUAACGGCCUACCAAGCCUAAGACGGGUAGCUGGUCUGAGAGGAUGAUCAGCCACACUGGAACUGAGACACGGUCCAG
rnacentral:rRNA from 1 species